UGCCGUUAGUCUCUGAGAUUUUGCUGUGCUUGGUCACCUUCAUCACCGUCUCACCGUGCACUACAUCCACUUCCACAUCUGUGAAAAGGUUUUCUAUUAGUGCCACCAUUUUCCUUCAGCAGCCUGAUGCGCUGUCUCUGGAAACAAGUUCAGAGAAAUGAUAGAAAUUCACACAGCAAAUUCCAGCACGAGAACAAAAUGGAACAUUUCUAAUAAAACCUAAGAGUCGAACUCACCCAAUGAAGAACCUUCUGAAAAAAGAACAGACAAAUAAUUGUUUCAGAGCCGAACGCAGAACAUCCUGAACCCAGAACUCAGGAGGAACCUUGGUUUUAACUUUGGACUGACAGAUUCAUUAGGAGGUUCAACAGCAGACCACCAGAACAUGAUGUAGUUCUGAACCUGAAACCGAUCCAGCAGCAUAAACUCACCUAGUUU